AUGCCAGUCGUGCGGCAGCGACAUAAACAAUCCUUCGGGUGCGCUUAUGGGCGGCCAGCGGCGGACGGGUGAGUAAUGCCUGGGAAUAUGCCCUGAUGUGGGGGAUAACCAUUGGAAACGAUGGCUAAUACCGCAUAAUCUCUUCGGAGCAAAGAGGGGGACCUUCGGGCCUCUCGCGUCAGGAUUAGCCCAGGUGAGAUUAGCUAGUUGGUGAGGUAAGAGCUCACCAAGGCGACGAUCUCUAGCUGGUCUGAGAGGAUGAUCAGCCUCUCUGGAACUGAGACACGGUCCAGACUCAUACGGGAGGCACCAGUGGGGAAUAUUGCACAAUGGGGGAAACCCUGAUGCAUCCAUGCCGCGUGUGUGAAGAAGGCCUUCGUGUUGUAAAGCACUUGCAGUCGUGAGGAACGCAUAUGCGUUAAUAGCGUAUGUCUGUGACGUGUACGACAGAAGAAGCACCGUGUAGCUCCGUGCCUUCAGUCCGUGUAGUACGGAGGGGGCGAGCGUUCAUCGGAAUUACUGGGC
rnacentral:rRNA from 1 species